AUGUCUGGGAAACUGCCUGAUGGAGGGGGAUAACUACUGGAAACGGUAGCUAAUACCGCAUAACGUCGCAAGACCAAAGAGGGGGACCUUCGGGCCUCUUGCCAUCAGAUGUGCCCAGAUGGGAUUAGCUAGUAGGUGGGGUAACGGCUCACCUAGGCGACGAUCCCUAGCUGGUCUGAGAGGAUGACCAGCCACACUGGAACUGAGACACGGUCCAGACUCCUACGGGAGGCAGCAGUGGGGAAUAUUGCACAAUGGGCGCAAGCCUGAUGCAGCCAUGCCGCGUGUAUGAAGAAGGCCUUCGGGUUGUAAAGUACUUUCAGCGGGGAGGAAGGCGAUAAGGUUAAUAACCUUGUCGAUUGACGUUACCCGCAGAAGAAGCACCGGCUAACUCCGUGCCAGCAGCCGCGGUAAUACGGAGGGUGCAAGCGUUAAUCGGAAUUACUGGGCGUAAAGCGCACGCAGGCGGUCUGUCAAGUCGGAUGUGAAAUCCCCGGGCUCAACCUGGGAACUGCAUUCGAAACUGGCAGGCUAGAGUCUUGUAGAGGGGGGUAGAAUUCCAGGUGUAGCGGUGAAAUGCGUAGAGAUCUGGAGGAAUACCGGUGGCGAAGGCGGCCCCCUGGACAAAGACUGACGCUCA
rnacentral:rRNA from 1 species